rnacentral:rRNA from 1 species
CAUGGCUGUCGUCAGCUCGUGUCGUGAGAUGUUGGUUAAGUCCCGCAACGAGCGCAACCCUUGUCAUUAGUUGCUACAUUCAGUUGGGCACUCUAAUGAGACUGCCGGUGACAAACCGGAGGAAGGUGGGGAUGACGUCAAGUCCUCAUGGCCCUUAUAGGUGGGGCUACACACGUCAUACAAUGGAUGGUACAAAGGGUCGCCAACCCGCGAGGGGGAGCCAAUCCCAUAAAGCCAUUCGUAGUCCGGAUCGCAGUCUGCAACUCGACUGCGUGAAGUCGGAAUCGCUAGUAAUCGUGGAUCAGAAUGUCACGGUGAAUACGUUCCCGGGUCUU